UGAGGCUCAGAGCCGCUCCUUCUGCACUGUCAUCACGUCCAAAUACCCUAUCAUCAUCAGCAACACAACUGCCUCAGGUGCCGGGAACAACACAAACAGCAGACAUAUAUAAGCCUGUGGAACAUAGUUCAGGAACAUGAUGCAACAGAAACAUCUAAAGGCUGAGAUGCUUGCUACUGUUCUACCCACGAGGCCAGACGAGCCGUUGACCUUGGCUGGCCGGAAUGCCAUGAUGCAGCGUAAUGGGCCCAGCCUGCAGCCGGUGGCUAAAAGCAGCCGUCACCGCAAGUCACCUGCCCUCCAUCUGUCCAGCGCACCCUGCCAGGAGGAGGCCGCUUGUCGGCCCGCCGCCUCCCAAGCCCCCCAGGAGCCUCUGCAGUCUGACCCCCAGGCCCAGCCCCACCCGGUGGAGGUGAGCCGGGAGCUGGAGAACCUCCCGCCCCCCAGGCGGCCUCUGAAGCUGGCCCCUUUGGCCCCGGAGCCGAAGGACACCCAGAGGCUAGCGAGGGUCCGGGGAGGAGGAGCAGGAGCAGGAGCAGGAGCAGGGACGGCAGUCCCCCCUCCACCGGAGCCCAAGGAGGGCGUGAGGAAGCUGGAGGGCCUCGGAGGGGCUGAGGCCUGCCCCAGGAAGGUGAAGGCGAACCCGGUGCGGGAGGCCAGUCCGUCCAGGUCCCCCGAGAGGCCCCCGUUGUGCCGAAUGCAGCCCAUUGUGGAGUUCCCCAAAGCAGCACCCCAUAACCAGCAGCAGCAGCAGCCAGCGCUGGGGGCCAAGACCCUGCUGCUCCCUGUCCCUCAGGCAGAGCGCCCCCGCCACAAGUCACUCGGGGGAGACCUGGAGACCUUCCCCAGCUCCACCCCUCCCCCUGUUCGAUCUGGGAAGAAACCCGGCCCUCUCUCCCUGUCCGUCUCCCCGUCUCGCCUGCCCCUGAAUCCUCUCCAGGGCACCCAAGUGCCAAGUGCCAAGAGCCCACCCCUCUCCCCCUCAGAGUGUGGCAGCCUGGCGGAGUGCGCCCAGGGUCGUGCCAGGCCCCGCUUGCGUAGGAUCCCACGGCUCGAGGAGGAUCAGGGCCGAUCAGCUCCAGCCCCAGCCCCAGUUGCGUCAGGGUCAGGAUUAUCCCCGCGGGAGGAGAAAGGGGAGGAGGAGGAGGACACCAAACUCCAGCACCUGGUCCUGGACAGUGGCCAGCGGGUGGAGAGGGCCCGAAGCGAGCCCACACGCAUGCCGGAGAAGGCGCCCCGCAGGACCCCCGCUCCCCUGGACAGGCCAGGGAAAGCCAGCAAGAAGAUGGUGCGGAACGUUGUCCCUGCUGCCGUGCACUAAUCCCUGCAGAGAAAUGUUGACAGGGUUGAGGUGACGGGAGGGGAAGGGAAGGGAAGGGAAGGGUUUAGAGCCCCAGUGAUCCCUCUGGCACAGAAGAGGAGGAAAAGUCCUUCUUUUAAGCUCACACCUCUGAGCUGAUAAGGACGUAAACACCAGCUGCUCAUAGAACCUUUUUUUUUUAAAACUCCAUACGCACCCUUAUAGUCGCUUCUAGGCAACGGGGUUGGUCCAGGGCAGAGAUUCCCAGAGACAGACAGGCCGCGAUUAUAGUGUCAAAUGUGAUUAACAAUGGCCGCAGAUACAGAUCAGUGUCGCACGCUGAAAGUGGCAAAGAUGGGAAAGAACUGUAACUAUCCUCCACACUGCAAACCAUCUGUGUUGUCAUGCAACAUGAGUCACAGGCCCCGACAAAACAAAUGCAGUAGAAGCACUGACUCAUAUCAUAUUACCUCAUGUAAUGUCAUAACACUGAUGUUGUCAUUCUAAGAGAAACCUAGGGGUUGGUACCACUCGAAUACAUUAGUUCCUUAGUCUUUUUUUUUCGGUGUUACACUGGCAAAAUAUUGGGGGUGCUUUUUGAAGCAGGUUGGGGGCAAUACGCACCAUUUCAUUAAAGAGAAAAAGGAACAGAAAAGAACUCCAACAACAAAAACAAAAGACCAUGCAAGCUGUUUUUCAUGGCUGUUUUGCUGCUAACAUGCAAUGGAAGCGAAUGCUUGUUGUCUUCGGGGGACUGGUGCACCUCUUCUCAAGGCCUUCAAUGGCUUCUCCAGACUUCCUCUGGCUGGAGGGAAGAAAAGAGAAACGAGGGUCACAUGAAAAGGCUGUGGUCUGCUCCAGCUCUGCAAAAGCACUGUGGACUUUAACAGACACAAUUCUAUAGAGAUUUUGAAGAGGGGAAACUUCUGGAUUGUCCAAAGAGAGCAUGUUUUGCAAAGAUUUAAAACUUCCCUAUGAGCUCACAUUUCUAAAUUUUGUCUCCUGUUCUUCUUCCCCCCCCUUUGACAAUGACUGAAACCAUCAUAGAUUUAACUUACUACUACAUUUCCCUGUCUGUGUGUGUGUUUGUGUUAUGGAAAUGUACUUGGCAAAUAAACAGUUGAGUACUUUUUGUGGUUUUGUGGUA
rnacentral:lncRNA from 1 species